GAUGAACGCUGGCGGCGUGCCUAAUACAUGCAAGUCGAGCGAACAGACGAGGAGCUUGCUCCUCUGACGUUAGCGGCGGACGGGUGAGUAACACGUGGAUAACCUACCUAUAAGACUGGGAUAACUUCGGGAAACCGGAGCUAAUACCGGAUAAUAUAUUGAACCGCAUGGUUCAAUAGUGAAAGACGGUUUUGCUGUCACUUAUAGAUGGAUCCGCGCCGCAUUAGCUAGUUGGUAAGGUAACGGCUUACCAAGGCAACGAUGCGUAGCCGACCUGAGAGGGUGAUCGGCCACACUGGAACUGAGACACGGUCCAGACUCCUACGGGAGGCAGCAGUAGGGAAUCUUACGCAAUGGGCGAGAGCCUGACGGAGCAACGCCGCGUGAGUGAUGAAGGUCUUCGGAUCGUAAAACUCUGUUAUUAGGGAAGAACAAAUGUGUAAGUAACUAUGCACGUCUUGACGGUACCUAAUCAGAAAGCCACGGCUAACUACGUG
rnacentral:rRNA from 1 species